rnacentral:tRNA from 1 species
GGGCGUUUAGCUCAGUUGGUUAGAGCACACCCCUUACAAGGGUGGGGUCGCGGGUUCGAGUCCCCCAACGCCCA